rnacentral:rRNA from 1 species
CAGCGCAAGGGUGAGUAAUACAUGGCUAACAUACCCCAAACAUGAGAAUAACUAUUAGAAAUGAUAGCUAAUGCUCAAUAGUUUCUUAAGACCUCCUGGUCUAAAGAAUAAAGGUAGGGAUCCUUCGGGACCUUCCGGUUUGGGAGUGGGUCAUGGGCUAUCAGCUAGUUGGUGAGGUAAAGGCUCACCAAGGCUAAGACGGCUAGGCGAUCUGAGAGGAUGAUCGCCCACAUCGGGACUGAGACACUGCCCGGACUCCUACGGGGGGCUGCAGUCGAGAAUCUUCCGCAAUGGGCGCAAGCCUGACGGAGCGACGCCGCGUGAGGGACGAAGGCUUUAGGGUCGUAAACCUCUUUCGCUUGUUAAGAAAAGUGUAUGUUAAUAGCAUGCACCCUGACAAAGGCAAGUAAAGAAGCACCGGCUAAAUCCGUGCCAGCAGCCGCGGUAAUACGGAUGGUGCAAGCGUUACUCGGAAUCACUGGGCGUAAAGCGUUCGUAGGUGGUUUAUUAAGUUGGAUGUGUAACCCCACGGCUUAACCGUGGAACUGCGUUCAAAACUGAUAAACUAGAGAGCAGUAGGGGACAAGGGAACUUCGGGCGGAGCGGUGAAAUGCGUAGAUAUCUGAAGGAACACCGAUGGCGAAAGCACUUGUCUGGGCUGAUUCUGACACUGAGGAACGAAAGCUAGGGUAGCGAACGGGAUUAGAUACCCCGGUAGUCCUAGCCGUAAACGAUGGAUACUAG